rnacentral:lncRNA from 12 species
GGUUUCUUAGUUAUUUCCUGGUAGAUCCUGUAGAUUUGCUGAAACAAUAUUUGUAGGUUGAAUUGUGCCUCUCGAAAAGGUAUGUUGAGGUGUUAACCCGCAGAACCUCAGAACGUGACCUUAUUUGGAAACAAGAGUGUAGCAAGCGUAAUGAGGUGAGGUUACGGGGGCGUAGGUGGGCCCUAUUCCAACGUGACUUCUCUCCUUAUAAGAGUGGGGGAGAGAGAAUCCCAGGGAGUAAGCCACGCAAAGGCAGAGGCAGAAACUGGAGUGACGCGUCUGUAAACUAAGGAAAGCCAAGGACUGCCAGCCCUCGCCAGAAGCAGGAAGAGGCGUCACUCAGAGCCCUCAGAGGGGCCAACCCUGCAGGUACCUUGAUUUGGGCUGAUAGCCUCCAGAUCGGUCAGAUAAUCCGCUUAUGUUGUUUUAAGACACCGGGUUUCUAGUACUUUGUUACGGCAGCCCUAGGAAAUGAAGGCCCAACGGGAGACUCCUUUCCUCCGCACUCCCCCGCUUGAGAGGAUGACCUGGAGCUGCCCGGAGACGGCCUGGUCCCUGUUUGUUUCGCGGCCGUGAACUGCCUCCUUCCCUUCUUCACGGGGUGUUUGGCCAGGCAGGAGUGUGUUAGGAUAAGACCUGGGUUAACUGGAAUUCACAUUCCCAGCGCUGGAGCCAAUUUAUCAGUGCUGCUUGGGGUGAGAAAUAACAGCCAGAAGCAGCAGGAUGGGGCACGGAACUUCAUUACAGGACACAUGUGGCUGGACACGUCUGGAAGCCGGCGGUCGAGGAAGCUCACGGUGGCAUUCUCAAAGUUCCAUCUUCUCAGGCACAAGGUGUGGUGGAGAAGGGUGUGGAGUAGAUCCAAAGGGCGCCCAACAUUUCCAGCCCAAGGAAUUGCUGGGUGAAAUGAUGAUGAAACAGGGGACUGUCACCGUGAUCUGCCAUAAGAAAAAGGGCCGAGGAGUUUAAAAGCUGGCGAUUGAGG